AAAAUUAAUAACUUCUUGACAGUGUACAAAUCCGCCCGUUUCUCUUCCAGCGUGUAUGACUUGGUGUAGGAUUUGUUUUGGUUUUCCUUUUUUAGUUUUGUGCGCUGCCUACUGCGAUCGCGAGUUUGUCGAGCGUUUUGUUUUUGUUUACGCCAGUACUGCAGACGAAAAAACUGGGAUUUAUCACGUGAAACUUAAAAAUUGAUUCCGGAUAGUGUGGGGUCUCGAUUCCAGGGAAAAUCAAGGCGUUGCUGUCCAAGGAAGAGUAAGAAACAAAAACAAGUGCCUACUCCUGCGGUAUCUUUCGUUUUCACACAUCACAGAGUUGUGAAAUUAAUUUUCGACUUUUUUUUGGUGCUUAUUGAAAUAGGUCAUCGACGAGAUUAAUCAUUAGUUGGAUGGUCGGGUAAAUCGUCGACGGAAGUUCCUACCAGAGUUUGCAAUUAUGAACUUCUUACGAUUAACUUCUGGAGAAGUGGUCCGGCCAUCUUCGUGCCAGUUCCUGUUUCGGUUCGAGACGUGCCUUCUGGUAUUAUAAGUUGAGUCGAUUGGCCGGAAUGGAGCAAAAACGCAUGCACUACGACCCGCAGGCUUCCAUUUGACCGGCAGCUCGGUUCUUUUCUGACAGUUUGGGAACCUCCGGAGACAUACAAAGACGUUACCAAGAUUUCGUCCACGCAACGAGAGGUUGAAGCGGAGCCAGCAUCGAACGAUACUG